AAAGCAGCAAGGAAGCAAGGAAGAAAGAAAGGAAGGAGGGAAGGAAUGAAGGAAGGAAGGAAGGAAAGAUGAAAUGAAGGAAGAAAUAGAUAGAGUGUCAGAUAGAGAGUGACAGAGUGAUAGAUGUAUAGAUAAAUGGAUGCAAGGAAGGAAGAACGGAAGGAAAGAAGGACAAAAGGAAGGAAAGAAGGAAGGAACGAAGGAAUGAAGGAAGGUAGGAAAAAAGGAAGGAAGGAAGAAAAGAAAGGAAUAGAUAGAUUGAUAGAUAGACUGACUGACAGAUUGAGAGAUGUACAGAUAAAAAGAUGGACGGAAAGAAGGAAGAAAAAAGAAAAGAAGAAAGGAACAAAGAAAUGAAGGAAGGAAGAAAGGAGGGAAAGAAGGAAGGAAGGAAGGAAGGAAGAAAGGAAGGAAAGAAGGAAGGAAGGAAGGGUUAGAUAGCUUGAUAGAUAGACAGACUGACAGAAAAAUAGACAGGCAGAUUAGGAGAUGGACAGAUAGAUAGAUAGAUAGAUAGAUAGAUAGAUAGAUAGAUAGAUAGAUAGAUAGAUAGAUCAGUUCUCACAUAUUUUCAUUUACUUGCUUGUUGGAGGGUCAUUUAAUCAUAAACAUGUUGAUCUAUAAUAUCCAGAUUUCUCUCAGUGAAGUAGCAUCAAUCCUCCUCUAGGUGGCAGUAGUUCACCACACUGCUGACUCAGCUGACAGAUUUCAACAGAAUUAAAACAGUGAACAUAAUCUGUAACACAACAGCACAUCUUUCUUUAUAGAAAUAUAAUCUACACAUUUUUAUUCAGAAGCUUCUCCUGGUAUUUCCUUAAAGAAGAAAAAAGUGUCCUCAUUGAUUUCCUAUACCUGCUCUGUGUCUUUCUCUACAUACAGGAUGAUUUAUGAAGACAGCGCAGCACCUGUGGGUGGGGUUCGCUGUCAGUCACCUGCUGUGUUACAGGAUCACGAGCGCUCAAUGCCAUAUCAUAUUAGCAGUGGGGUAAAACACAUCCUUCACUUAAACCACAGGGAGACACUGCAAUCCCAGAGUUAAUGCGAAUAUACAGUACGCCAAACAUGAUCCUGUACAGUCUGACGCCUCCUCCAUUUAACAUGACCAGAACGACAUGGAAUCCCCCGAGGACCAGUUUAAUGACUGUAAGGCAUUUUAAAUCGAGUUGCUGCAAAAUGCAAAUAAGUCCACAGUGAUUGUCAUGAGAUUAAAAAUGGAGCCUGACAGAGAGAGAGACUUGCUGGUGUGGAUGGUGGCCUGUGAGGCCCAGUCUUGGCCCCGAACAAGGACGUUUGAACCUUGUUUAUUGUCUGCGCUGAUCUCCUCUCAGGGCGGUGGCUGAAAAUGAGCUUAGUACGGUGACAUAAGGCACUAGGCUGUUGUUUUUCCCAAGAGGAGAGGCUGCAGAUGCACACUGAGAGCUUAAAAUAAUAAAUACACAGAUAUUAACAUUCAGGCCCUGAAGGUGGAGAGGAAAUACAAAAACAAAUGCCAUGUUAGCGCUUCCCUCUCUGCUUGCCCUUGGUGUCGGGGCCGUGCAGAACAACACUUUCCACUCUUUCAUCUCCUGAUGUCCAUACUUGGCAGGAUGCCGAGGCGCUGUUGCUAACGGCUGCAUGGACUUGUUUACUCAGACAGUUAAACAAUACACUUACAUAAAAAGGACAGCAGAAAUUAUAAAUGAUAUAUGGACGUACUGCAGCCAGGCAGCACAGUUUCAGCUCGUUUUUGUCUUUUUGGAAACCCCCUCUCUUUUCAGAUCCUACAAAACACUUUGAUUGAAAUCAGAAGCGGGGAAAAUGUUGAGCGAUAUGUCAACAUUUCCAUUUCGGUGGGUCAGAAUCUGAAUGCCGCGGGAACACAUUUGAGUAUGCAGGGACUCUAAAUGUCACUGUUGCAGUUAGAUGACAAGGCUUUUUGUUUCCCAGUGGGCCAGGUGCAUUGAAGUGUCAUUUUGUCUUUCUCUCAAGCUCCCUGUGCAGCAAAGCAACCAAAUGUCAGGUCUCUGGUUGCCCGUGCAGAGGAAAGACCAGGGUUCGGAUUAGGGUGAGACCGAUAUGGAUUUUUUGGGGCCGAUGCCGAUUAUUAGGGGGGAGAAUCCGAUUACCAAAUAAUCGGCCAAUUUUUUAAUUUUUUAUGAAGUUAUAAAAAUAUAUAUAUAUAUACUGUAGAUAUACUGUAGGUUACUGCUCUUCACGCCGACAGGAAGACCAACUGAUCAAACCUGCCGCCGAUCGGUGCCUCUCCACGUCUUAACUCAUGUUACCCAUUCCUGGUCCGGUUUCAUCUGGAGACAUGCAGCUGCCUCAGAAAGAGAAGUAGCUCGAUCACGUAAUGUGUACUGUUGUUUAAUUUACCGUUACUGGCACGACUAAAGGUCCUUACACACAAGGAGCGUUUUUUUAUUAUUUCAGACGUCAAUAUUUUUUCCGAACCCGUAUCCUGUCAAUACAAGCGUUCACAUCAGCAACGUUUUCUCAUCCUGCAAUAUUGCGGCAUUUGUUUUUUCGGAUCAUGGUCGAUUUUUCCAAAGUUUCGCAUACUGUGUGUCCACUUCUGACCAAUCAGAUUUCAUGUUGUUGCGACGUCAGAUUCAAUGGUAUAUCCAACAUGGCCGACCGGCUGAUCGUUUACGUGUCGGAGAACAGAGUGAUUUUUGAUAAAAGACACAAAUAUUACAAAGAUAACAACCUGAAGGACAACUUGUGGAGAGUCAUAGCGUCGGAUUUCUUAUAUUACGAUGGUUUCUGUGCUUUAAACUUUUCCACCUUUGCCUUGACAAACAUUUGAUAUUUUUGUCUAUAAGAUCAUCGAGUCUGAUCUCUUCUAUAUCUUCUCUUCUGAUUUGAUGCUCAGAAAAAACUCACCCCGGAUCCGAAAGCUCACGCCCAUUUGAGGAGUCUUUAGAUUUCACUGUCCUGCCUUUAAAGCUACACCCAUGUGCCUCAUAGUGUUGUCACGCUAAUUGGCUUGUGUUCUGUGAGCGUGCUGCACAGUCACACACACAGACACACAUGCGCCCUGACAGCAAACAGUAAACAGUCUUACUCAGAUCUGCCAGGCUCUCCAGACUUGGACGCACUUGUUGGAUCUUUCGGAGUAUUUUGAUCUAAUUAACUUGGUCAUAAACCCCCGUCCACUCCUCUCUGUGUCUCUGUCUCCUUUUUUUCCUGCUUGCUUCUUUGCAGCUCUGAAUCAAUAUCAAAGCUUCUGCCUGCAGACCUUGGGUUUCUCACUGAUAGCUGUGUGAUGCUGCCUGCUGUGAGUUGUGUGCAUUUUUCCUUUCUUCUCUUUUAGCUUUGAAUUCUGCUCCACCAAUAAAAAACCACCACUCAGUAGCACUGGGUGGCUCUCUGCAAAGGAUUCCAGGGUUAUUGAUGGCAGCAACAUUUCCCUUUGUGUCCCGAUCGAUGGCUGGAGGUCCACAGUUGAAUUAUUGCUGCAGUGACAUGUCAGGGAACAGAAUAGCAGCAGCAGCAGCAACAGCAGCGGCCGCCGUGGGGACACUGACGUAGUGCUGUGCGUGAGUGCUUUUGUGCAGCAGAAUUAUUAUAGGAGUCAUUCACAAGAAAGAGGCAGAGUAAACACCUGAACCCACAGUAUUUUCAGGCUUUUGUGCACCUACAUCCUGUGCACUGUAAUCAGAUUCGAAUCAGACGUUCACGGGGGUGGUGUAGUCGACUCAGGCAGUGGAGCUAGAAAAGCAUUUGUUGCUCUUUUGAUACAGGAAAGAGUCUAAGAGUGUACCUGCAAGGAAAAAAGAAACUCUCCUGUGAUGAAUCUUAAUUUUUACAACCUUCAAAAACAGAAACUAGGAAUUAAUGGGGAAUUUUUGGGAUAGUCUUUAGUUUGAACACAGUUACAGCUGAGUGAUGUUUUUUAUUGCCUGUUUUACCUCAUCAAUACCAAUUUUUCAUCUAAGUCCAUAUCAACCAACUUUAACCAACCAGCUGAGGAAAUGAAAACACUUUGACACUGAUCAAAAACAACAGCAACGCUUCAUACUCAUGCACAGUCUUAAAUGCAUGUCCAAACACACUGGAAUUUUGUAUUUUGUAUUUUGUAUUCACCUUUCACCUACAUUUAUUUCCAUUCAGCAAGAUUUUAAGGAUACUUUCAACAUUUUCAUUUAAUCCUUGUUAUUUGAUCGUCUAAAUAAUCUGUAAGAGACCAUUAGAUGAGAUACUUAGGGGCCUGUUACACUACAGAUGUUUGAGCCAGAGUUGUCAAAUUUAAAUACAAAUGACCCAAAUUUAUUUAUUACAAAUGGAGCCAAUUCAAGUGAUGUCAAAAAACAGUGUUUGUUACAACCUUUCCCAUGACGUGUUGGACUCAUAGACUGUAUAUGGAAUAGGUGAAGCCUCCGUGAGAACAGCACCCUCUGGUGACGGGCUGCAGUAUAGGUCCUAAAUCCCGCCUCCUCCAGCAAUCUCUAUGGACCAACAGAAAUUAAUUACACAGAAUAUGAAUUUUUGCAAUGUUGAAAUGUAGUAACUGUAAGACUGGUUUGUUCUCAAGUCCUUUUUUUCUGUACAGCUCCAUUUUUAAAGGUUAUUAGGGGGUUCGGGGCGACACAGUGGUGUAGUGGUUAGCACUGUCGCCUCACAGCAAGAGGGUCCUGGGUUCAAAUCUGGGUCAGGACGUUUCUUUGUGCAGUUUGCAUCUUCUCCCUGUGUCUGGGUGGAUUUACUCCGGGUACUCAGGUUUCCUCCCACAUUCCAAAAGCAUGCAGAAGUGGGGUUAUGUUAAUUGGCCACUUUCAAAUUGCCCGUAGGUGUGAAUGUGAGCGUGGAUGGUUGUUCGCCCGAAGAUGCUGGGGUAUUUUAUUUUUGUAGAAUGGUAGGGGAAAGUCCCGCCUCCUUCGCCUCUGAUUGGCUAGAGAAGCAGGGAACGUCAUCACAUGCUCAAGCCAAACGCGGACUGUCGGCUCUGUACAUCAAACAGAACAUUACAGAAUAUCAUCGCAAGCCUGAAUCUCCAAACCCUAACUUUACAGACGAUGACGUUUCACAGCCAUUAGGAAGAACCAGUCGGAGCCCAGCACUUCUAGCCAAUCAGGGGCAAAGGAGGGCGGGACCUUCCCCUAUCCCUGACAUACUGCGAGCCAUUCGGCUUCAAACUCAUAUAAUGACGACAAGUAUAAACUGCAUAACUUUUAGCUAAGACACGACAGUUAAAUCCAAACAAAAUAGUGUCUGUGGAGAGACUCAGUGCACCUUUUCCAGCCUUUAAACUCACCAUGUGGGUCCAAGGCGAAAG
rnacentral:lncRNA from 1 species